rnacentral:hammerhead_ribozyme from 1 species
AUCCAGCUGACGAGUCUCAAAUAGGACGCAAGACGCUUCCUGGAU